AGCAUUUCGUUUGCCUUGAUCCUGGAGGCGGCCUUCUCCCAUUGCCGAGGAUUUGAAGCGAACUCCUGGCAGAUCAGAAAUGUUCAGGCGAACGGCGGUUAUAUUUGUCUGUGGACCCAAGACUUCGUUGACGGGCAAAUAUGUCAGAUUUUCUUGUUUUUUAUUUGUGGCAUCUUAUUGUAAGACCGUGACAUAUUUUGCCGUUUUCUCUAGGGAACCCUGCAACAAGGACUGUAGUGUGAAUAGCGUGCUGCGCUGCUCUCGCCAACUGAAAAGAACUCUGGUAAGAUGCAUGCUUGGUUAUGAAAGUCUCACGCAAUCGCUUUUCACAUUGAAUUUGGUCGCAGGUGUGCUGUAAAUGCCGACUGCACAAUAUGUGACUGGCCCGCGGCUGCUUUGAAGGUAAGAUUGUGUUCUCAUUAAUCUAUUUAUUGUACCAUUUGUUUUCCAGUGACAUAGCCAACAACGAAAACCUCGAUCCAUCCUCUCUCCACAUAUUAUCUAGUUUGUGCGCUGUGGAGCUUGAAGCACUUCUCGGAAUUUCAGCACACUCGCAUUUAUUUUUUUCCCGACAGAAGAAAAAUGCAAGUCUAACAU